rnacentral:rRNA from 1 species
UACGGGGGGAGCAAGCGUUGUUCGGAUUUACUGGGCGUAAAGGGCGCGUAGGCGGCCAGCACAAGUCAGUUGUGAAAUCUCCGAGCUUAACUCGGAAAGGUCAACUGAUACUGUGCGGCUAGAGUGCAGAAGGGGCAACUGGAAUUCUUGGUGUAGCGGUGAAAUGCGUAGAUAUCAAGAGGAACACCUGCGGCGAAGGCGGCAUCCUGGACCAACACUGACACUGAGGAGCGAAAGCCAGGGGAGCAAACGGG